rnacentral:rRNA from 1 species
UGCGUAGGCGGCUUUCUAAGUUGGAUGUGAAAACUCUGGGCUCAACCCAGAGCCUGCAUCCAAAAACUGGAGAGCUAGGGUUCUGGAGGGGAAAGCGGAAUUCCUGGUGUAGCGGUGAAAUGCGUAGAUAUCAGGAGGAACACCGGUGGCGAAGGCGGCUUUCUGGACAGAUACCGACGCUGAGGCACGAAAGCUGGGGAGCAAACA